CGAACGCUGGCGGCGUGCCUAAUACAUGCAAGUCGAGCGGACUGAUUAAGAGCUUGCUCUUAUGACGUUAGCGGCGGACGGGUGAGUAACACGUGGGCAACCUGCCCUGUAGAUCGGGAUAACACCGAGAAAUCGGUGCUAAUACCGGGUAAUAUCUGAGAUCACAUGAUCUUAGGUUAAAAGAUGGCUCCGGCUAUCACUACAGGAUGGGCCCGCGGCGCAUUAGCUAGUUGGUAAGGUAAUGGCUUACCAAGGCGACGAUGCGUAGCCGACCUGAGAGGGUGAUCGGCCACACUGGGACUGAGACACGGCCCAGACUCCUACGGGAGGCAGCAGUAGGGAAUCUUCCGCAAUGGACGAAAGUCUGACGGAGCAACGCCGCGUGAGUGAUGAAGGGUUUCGGCCCGUAAAGCUCUGUUGUUAGGGAAGAAACAGUACCGAACGAACUAGGUCGGUACCUUGACGGUACCUAACCAGAAAGCCACGGCUAACUACGUG
rnacentral:rRNA from 1 species